GUGCUCACUUUGGCAGCACAUAUACUAAAAUUGGAAUGAUACAGAGAAGAUUAGCAUGGCCCCUGCACAAGGAUGACACACAAAUUCAUGAAGCAUUCCAUAUUUUU
ensembl:snRNA U6 U6 spliceosomal RNA